CAGACAGGGUGCACACUCAGUGCUGAGGUUGCAUCUCCAAACUGGUCCUCACCAGGAUGCCACGUUUGCUCUCAACAUUCUGAGCUUUCUCUGGUCUGAAUAAACAGCAAAAAUCCUCUUUUCCUGGCUGCUUAUCCUGCCUUCCCUGUCUGCAGCCUCUUGCCUUUGGCCCAGACCAGCAGACUUCCCUGAAAGUUACACGGAUUUUGUUUCCCUAGUUUUGGGAAAUCCAGAUGCACAGUUUGCUUUGCUGGGGGCAGGGAAUCAAGGGGAGAGUGAAAGAGUGGGGAGAUUGUCAUCGCUGAUAAAUAAUGGUAAAGGUGAUGGAAGAGAUCUUUAUUUACAUCCUGACUUUGGACAACAGAUGCUGCAUUUCAGUAAUGAGACAAACAAGGGAUUUGUUUUGUAAGUUCCAGCAGAGGAGAAGGAACAUGGCUGUAAUCUCUGGGAGGAACCCUGAUCCACCAUCACAGCCUCGGUGCAGCCUGGACAUGGGCUUUUAUUGCAACAUAUUCCCAGGAUUGCUAAGUUUCUCAAGGGAGCUCAACCAAUUGCAACGAUGAAGUUGUCUUGGCCUUAUCCUGUUUUUCCAUCUUGCAGUGAAUGUAACUUCAUAAGGCUGAAUCUAAUUUAUUUGCCACAAUAAAAUUAUCACACACGCAAAAGCUGUCAGACCCAAGUUUUGAAAUCCUCACUCAGAUCUAAUUAGGCAAAAGUUCUGGCUUUCAUUAGAAAAAAUACC
ensembl:lncRNA